rnacentral:rRNA from 1 species
CUACGGGAGGCAGCAGUGAGGAAUAUUGCGCAAUGGGGGCAACCCUGACGCAGCAACGCCGCGUGGGCGAAGAAGGUCUUCGGAUCGUAAAGCCCUUUUCUCCCGGACGAGGAAGGACGGUACGGGAGGAAUAAGUGUCGGCUAACUACGUGCCAGCAGCCGCGGUAAAACGUAGGACGCAAGCGUUAUCCGGAUUUAUUGGGCGUAAAGGGCGUCUAGGCGGCGUCUUAAGUUGGGCGUGAAAUCUUCCGGCUCAGCCGGAAGGGUGCGUUCAAUACUGGGACGCUUGAGGGCAGCAGAGGGAGGUGGAAUUCCCGGUGUAGCGGUGGAAUGCGUAGAUAUCGGGAGGAACACCUGUGGCGAAGGCGGCCUCCUGGGCUGUACCUGACGCUGAAGCGCGAAAGCGUGGGGAGCGAACGGGAUAUAGAUACCCCGGUAGUCCACGCCGUAAACGAUGGAUACUAGGUGUUGGUGGUAUUGACCCCAUCGGUGCCGGCACGUAACGCAUUAAGUAUCCCGCCUGGGGACUACGGUAGCAAGGCUAAAAUUCAAAGGAAUUGACGG